rnacentral:rRNA from 1 species
AGCGUAGACGGCGGAGCAAGUCUGAAGUGAAAGCCCGGGGCUCAACCCCGGGACUGCUUUGGAAACUGUUCUGCUAGAGUGCUGGAGAGGUAAGUGGAAUUCCUAGUGUAGCGGUGAAAUGCGUAGAUAUUAGGAGGAACACCAGUGGCGAAGGCGGCUUACUGGACAGUAACUGACGUUGAGGCUCGAAAGCGUGGGGAGCAAACA